GAAUAGGUAAGCUAAACUAAGCUUUCGGGCUCAUAACCCGACAAUGGUAACCAUUCCCCUAUUCA
rnacentral:tRNA from 1 species